GUCACUCAUUCAUCCAAUAGAGAGAGAAGUGACCCUAUCUAUCUACUUAUAAAGUGCAACAAAACGCACACCAAACGGCUAUAAUUGGCGUUAAGAAUUCCAAUUACUACAAUUUUUUCCAAAUUCCAAUUACAAUACAAAAAACCUCUCUUUUCUGUUCAAUUAAGAGAGAGAAACAAACAUAGCCUCAAAAACCAAAGAUCAUUACUGGGUUUUUGCCUCUUUACAUUUUUCCUUUUUAUUUUUCAUUUUUUGUCACCUUUUAUUUAAAAGGGUUUUCAAUUUACAGUAUCCAUAAACAAAUUCUCCACUUUUCUUUCCUUUUUUGCAUUUUCCAUUUUUAUAUAUUUUCCAACACGCACACACAAAAAAAAAAAACAUAAACUUUUGUUUUUGUUUUCGUUGGUUGUUCUUCACCAUGUCUGAGAGCUAUAUUAAUUCGAAGAAAACUGAUGAUAUUUGCGAUGAUGUUUGUGGACAGGUAAUUUUUUCUUUCUUGAUUGUGUUUUUUUAUUUUUAUUUAGUUUAAUUUCUUUUGCUACUCUACUAAAAAAAUUAUUUUUGUUUUUUUUAAAAAAAAAAAAUUGGUUAUGGUUUUUUGAGUUUCUGUGGUUGGGUUUCGCUGUCAAUGCAAAACUGGGAAGUUGAUUUUUUUUUUCUGUGUGCGGAAAAUUUAUCCUUUUUUCAGAACGCAGUUCAAAUAUUUAUUGGGUUUUUGUUUUUCUUCAAAUUUUAAUUGAAUUUUUUUAUGUAAUCGAUGAUAUAAUCUUCUUCGCUAUUUUUUCCCUUUGUUUAUGGGUAAUUGAUUAUUUUGCUAUUUGUUGUUUGGAAUGUUCAAAUUGUUGAUGGGUUUAGCCUUUGAUUAAUAGACCAUUGUGGUUUUUCAAGGUCUGAAAUGUAGGUUUUAUGUUGCAUUGGAAUUAGGGUUUUCAAUUUGAAAUUUUGUUGUUGUUUCCUUUUUAAAUGAUGGUUGUUUUCAUUUGAAGAUUAUGAAAAAAAAAACGAGAAUAUGUUGUUUUUUGAACCAUUUUCUGUUCAAGUAAUGUAAUUUCAUUUUAAUAUUUGUAUGUUCUGAUUGACAUGUAGAUGAGGUUGGUAUAUGUGAUUAAUUUGAUGUAAUUUUGUGCAAACAAGGAUUUAGCUUAAAGAAAUUUUGAUGAUUAAGUUGUAAUUAUGGGCUUAGGGAUUUUAUGUUU
rnacentral:lncRNA from 1 species